UACAGAGGUCUCAAGCGUUGUUCGGAUUCAUUGGGCGUAAAGGGUGCGUAGGUGGCGCUGUAAGUCGGGUGUGAAAUCCUGAGGCUUAACCUCGGAACUGCAUUCGAUACUGCGGUGCUUGAGGACUGGAGAGGAGACUGGAAUUCAUGGUGUAGCAGUGAAAUGCGUAGAGAUCAUGAGGAAGACCAGUGGCGAAAGCGGCUUCCUGGUCCAGCACCGACAUUCAGGCACGAAAGCGUGGGGAGCAAACAGG
rnacentral:rRNA from 1 species